rnacentral:rRNA from 1 species
UACAUGUGGGGCAAGCGUUGUUCGGAAUUACUGGGCAUAAAGGGUGCGUAGGUGGUUUGUUAAGUCAGGGGUGAAAUCCCAGAGCUCAACUCUGGAACUGCCUUUGAUACUGGGUAUCUCGAGUAUGGAAGAGGUGAGUGGAAUUCCGAGUGUAGAGGUGAAAUUCGUAGAUAUUCGGAGGAACACCAGUGGCGAGGGCGGCUCACUGGUCCAUUACUGACGCUGAGGUGCGAAAGCGUGGGGAGCAAACAGG